rnacentral:lncRNA from 1 species
UCCUCAUCUUGUUUGUUCUGUCUAAGCAGUGGUGCAACAGUGACACUCUUGAACUGAAAGCCUGCAUCUCACUUGCUUCAGGUGCAGAGAGCCGUCUGUGCUGUGAGGAAGAUCGUAGAAUGCCUUGGAAUGAAGAGCAACAGAAAGGACCUUCAGUUUGGGGAGCUGUCUCAGACACCACCCGGGCAUAAAGUAGCCUUCACAGAAGAGACAAGAACCUAAUUCCAGGGCAGCACUACGUACUAUCGAGUCAAUGGUUAUUGGGUGGUCACAUCAGAUUCAUGAUGCUGUGAGUAAGGACACUGCCAAACCUCUUCUGCAUGGCCUUCAUCCAUACCCCUAAACUGAACUGAACUUCUGGAAAGCAAGAAAAGAGAAUCCUUUACUAUAUAAAAAGCAAGAAAUUUUCAUUAACAUGUUGGAAUUUCAAAAGAUGGAAAAGCUGGAGUCUGGAAUCAAGGGGAAAAAUUUAAAUAAGUGGAUCUGCUGAACGAAUGAAGAGUUUCUGGAAAGCUGUGAAGAUUUCAGAAAGAGACCAUGCGAUCCUUCAGAUCACAGUAAUGUUCUUCAGAAACUAUUUGCCUCCGGGUUUGACAGUACUAAACAGGAGCUUUAUCAAGCAACAGCUGUCAUCUUACAGCUAAUUUGUUUCUCAGAAGCUUCAAGGUUCAUGCUGUUCAGUGUAUGAUAGUGAAUAUUGGCCACAUAUUUCCAUGAACAAGUUUUAUACACUUCUGAAUAGGUAACGUGCAGUAUGUGUCUGGUUAAUAUGUGGAUGCAAUUGCCCCAAAUCCAGGACAGAGCUGUGGUGUGACUCAGGAUCUGACCCUGAAGAGGACCAAAGGGUGCUUAGCUUUCAGGACACAGAUAUGGGCUUCUCAGACUCAUUGUUUUAAAUGAUUUUUUUUUGAUGUGUAAAAUAUAGGUGUUUUAAAAACGUAUCACACCCAGUCACAGAACUAAAUCUGAAUUUCUUUAUUGGCUAUGAAGAAGUGCAUGUAGUUCAUCUGUCCUGUUUUGGGUACAUAUGUGUGGUUUUGUGAAGUGUGUUUAAAAACCAAACAAAACAAACCCACAUUGACUGGGGAGGAGGGAGUUAGAAAGUAAGAAGAUUCUUAAAUAAACCUUUCCAAAGAGGCUGGAUUUAAUUUAAA